rnacentral:rRNA from 1 species
AUUGAACGCUGGCGGCAGGCCUAACACAUGCAAGUCGAGCGGUAGCACAGAGAGCUUGCUCUCGGGUGACGAGCGGCGGACGGGUGAGUAAUGUCUGGGAAACUGCCUGAUGGAGGGGGAUAACUACUGGAAACGGUAGCUAAUACCGCAUAACGUCGCAAGACCAAAGAGGGGGACCUUCGGGCCUCUUGCCAUCAGAUGUGCCCAGAUGGGAUUAGCUAGUAGGUGGGGUAAUGGCUCACCUAGGCGACGAUCCCUAGCUGGCCUGAGAGGAUGACCAGCCACACUGGAACUGAGACGCGGUCCAGACUGCUACGGGAGGCAGCAGGGGGGAAUAUUGCACAAUGGGCGCAAGCCUGAGGCAGCCAUGCCGCGUGUGUGAAGAAGGCCUUCGGGUUGUAAAGCACUUUCAGCGGGGAGGAAGGCGGUGAGGUUAAUAACCUCAUCGAUUGACGUUACCCGCAGAAGAAGCACCGGCUAACUCCGUGCCAGCAGCCGCCGUAA